CAAACGCUGGCGGCGUACUUAACACAUGCAAGUCGAACGAGAAAGGAAGCUUCGGCUUCUGAGUAAAGUGGCGAACGGGUGCGUAACACGUAAGUAAUCUACCCUAAACUCUGGAAUAACUCCCCGAAAGGGGGGCUAAGACUGGAUAGGGUCCUCGAGGUGUAAGCCGCGGGGGGAAAGCAGGCCUCUGUUACAAGCUUGCGGUUUAGGAUGAGCUUGCGUCCCAUUAGUUUGUUGGUGAGGUAACGGCUCACCAAGACGACGAUGGGUAGCUGGUCUGAGAGGAUGAUCAGUCACACUGGCACUGAGACACGGGCCAGACUCCUACGGGAGGCAGCAGUGGGGAAUUUUGCGCAAUGGGCGAAAGCCUGACGCAGUAACGCCGCGUGGAGGAUGAAGGCCUUCGGGUUGUAAACUCCUGUCAGGGGGAAAGAAGGACUUGGGGAUAGAACACGUCCCUGGGUUCUGACGGUACCCCCAAAGGAAGCCCCGGCUAAUUCCGUGCCAGCAGCCGCGGUAAUACGGAAGG
rnacentral:rRNA from 1 species